rnacentral:rRNA from 1 species
UAAGCCAUGCAAGUCUCAGUACAUGCCGCACUAAGGUGAAACCGCAAAAGGCUCAUUAAAUCAGUUAUGGUUCCUUGGAUCUUAAACAGUUACUUGGAUAACUGUGGUAAUUCUAGAGCUAAUACAUGCAAACAAGUCCCGACCAGAGAUGGGAGGGACGCUUUUAUUAGAUCAAAACCGAUCGGCGUCCGGCUCCGGCCGGCGCCGUCUCUUUUGGUGACUCUGGAUAACUUUUAGCCGAUCGCACGGUCACAGUACCGGCGACGCAUCUUUCAAAUGUCUGACUUAUCAACUGUCGAUGGUAGGCUCUGCGCCUACCAUGGUUGUAACGGGUAACGGGGAAUCAGGGUUCGAUUCCGGAGAGGGAGCCUGAGAAACGGCUACCACAUCCAAGGAAGGCAGCAGGCGCGCAAAUUACCCACUCCCGGCACGGGGAGGUAGUGACGAAAAAUAACGAUACGGGACUCAUCCGAGGCCCCGUAAUCGGAAUGAGUACACUUUAAAUACUUUAACGAGUACCAAUUGGAGGGCAAGUCUGGUGCCAGCAGCCGCGGUAAUUCCAGCUCCAAUAGCGUAUAUUAAAGUUGUUGCGGUUAAAAAGCUCGUAGUUGGAUCUGUGUGCCACGCUGUCGGUUCACCGCCCGUCGGUGUCAACUGGCAUGUCUGUGGGACGUCCUGCCGGUGGCGGUACGGGCUGCCGGCGCUGCGUAGGGGCACAACCCCGAAGCACGCCGGCGUGUCCCGGUCCGCCGAUCCAAUCCCGCCGCGGUGCUCUUCACUGAGUGUCGAGGUGGGCCGGCACGUUUACUUUGAACAAAUUAGAGUGCUCAAAUCAGGUCGUAUUUAGGCCUGAAUACUGUGU